rnacentral:rRNA from 1 species
UACAGAGGGGGCAAGCGUUAUUCGGAAUUAUUGGGCGUAAAGGGCGCGUAGGCGGCUUUGCAAGUGACGGGUGAAAUCCCUCGGCUUAACCGAGGAACUGCCUGUCAAACUGCAUGGCUUGAGACCGGGAGAGGUGAGUGGAAUUCCCAGUGUAGCGGUGAAAUGCGUAGAUAUUGGGAGGAACACCAGUGGCGAAGGCGGCUCACUGGACAGUUCCUGACGCUGAGGCACGAAGGUCAGGGGAGCAAACGGG